GCUUCUUUCAGAGGGGCUGCAGGUGUGGCUGCUGUGUCACAUAUGCAUUAUUAGGUGGUAGAGGGGAGAGAUGCUAUGUCUACACUCAGUGUUCUAACCUGUGAACAUUGAUUUAUUAGUAGCCUAAGGGG
ensembl:snoRNA LOC120098696 small nucleolar RNA SNORA17